AGUGGGCAAUUGAUGAAAUUUUGUUUAUAAAUGGGUAAUUUGCGUCUGAUAUUCAUUGAUGCUAACUUUUUCUUACAACUGAUGCCUACU